GACGAACGCUGGCGGCGUGCCUAAUACAUGCAAGUCGAACGCAGUGGGGACGGGUGAGUAACACGUGGGUAACCUCCCAUCAGAGGGGAUAACACUUGGAAACAGGUGCUAAACCGAUACUGAUGGAUGGACCAGCGGUGGAUUAGCUAGUUGGUGGGGUAACGGCUCACCAAGGCCACGCUGCAUAGCCGACCUGAGAGGGUGAUCGGGCACACUGGGACUGAGAAACGGCCCAUACUCCUAUGGGAGGCGGCAGUGGGGAAUCUGCGGCAAUGGCUGAAACUCUGACCGAGCACCGCCGAUGGAUUGAAGAGGGUUUUCGGAUCGUAAAGCCUUGUUGUUAGAGAAGCGGAAUCUAACCAGAAGGCCACGCCUACCUACGUGCCAGCGGCCGCGUUAAUC
rnacentral:rRNA from 1 species